GUCCAUCUGACGAGUCUCAAAUAGGAUGUAACGCGCGUCCUGGAU
rnacentral:hammerhead_ribozyme from 1 species